AGUGAACGCUGGCGGUAGGCCUAACACAUGCAAGUCGAACGGCAGCACAGUAAGAGCUUGCUCUUACGGGUAGCGAGUGGCGGACGGGUGAGGAAUACAUCGGAAUCUACUUUUUCGUGGGGGAUAACGUAGGGAAACUUACGCUAAUACCGCAUACGACCUACGGGUGAAAGCGGGGGAUCUUCGGACCUUGCGCGAUUGAAUGAGCCGAUGUCGGAUUAGCUAGUUGGCGGGGUAAAGGCCCACCAAGGCGACGAUCCGUAGCUGGUCUGAGAGGAUGAUCAGCCACACUGGAACUGAGACACGGUCCAGACUCCUACGGGAGGCAGCAGUGGGGAAUAUUGGACAAUGGGCGCAAGCCUGAUCCAGCCAUACCGCGUGGGUGAAGAAGGCCUUCGGGUUGUAAAGCCCUUUUGUUGGGAAAGAAAAGCAGCAGGUUAAUACCCCGCUGCUCUGACGGUACCCAAAGAAUAAGCACCGGCUAACUUCGUG
rnacentral:rRNA from 1 species